UUAUGAGAGUUUGAUCCUGGCUCAGGACGAACGCUGGCGGCGUGCCUAAUACAUGCAAGUCGAACGCUUUUUCUUUCACCGGAGCUUGCUCCACCGAAAGAAAAAGAGUGGCGAACGGGUGAGUAACACGUGGGUAACCUGCCCAUCAGAAGGGGAUAACACUUGGAAACAGGUGCUAAUACCGUAUAACACUAUUUUCCGCAUGGAAGAAAGUUGAAAGGCGCUUUUGCGUCACUGAUGGAUGGACCCGCGGUGCAUUAGCUAGUUGGUGAGGUAACGGCUCACCAAGGCAACGAUGCAUAGCCGACCUGAGAGGGUGAUCGGCCACACUGGGACUGAGACACGGCCCAGACUCCUACGGGAGGCAGCAGUAGGGAA
rnacentral:rRNA from 1 species